rnacentral:rRNA from 1 species
GACGAACGCUGGCGGCGUGCUUAACACAUGCAAGUCGAACGGAGUGGCGAACGGGUGAGUAACACGUGGGUGACCUGCCCUGCAAUUCGGGAUAAGCCUGGGAAACUGGGUCUAAUACCGGAUAGUGUGGGAUGGGCGCGUGGCCUAUCAGCUUGCUGGUGGGGGAAGGGCCUACCAAGGCGGGGACGGGUAGCCGGCCUGAGAGGGUGGACGGCCACAAUGGGACUUAGACCCGUCCCAGACUCCUACGGGAGGCAACGGUGGGGAAUAUUGCGCAAUGGGCGGGAGCCUGAUGCAGCGACGCCGCGUGGGGGAUGACGGCCUUCGGGUUGUAAACUCCUUUCACCAUCGACGCGGUAGAUGAAGAAGAAGCACCGGCUAACUACGUGCCAGCAGCCGCGGUAAUUC